rnacentral:rRNA from 1 species
GGGAAAUGGGGCAGCUACCAUGCAGUCGGACGGUAGCACAGAGAACUUGGUCUCGUGUGAGAAGUGUGGGACGGGUGAGUAAUGUGUGGGGAUCUGCCCCAUAUAGGGGGAUAACCCCUGUGAACGGUGGCUAAUACCCCAUAACGUCUCAAGACCAAAAAGGGGGACCUUCUCGCCUCUCUCUAUCUCAUGAACCCCCAUGGGAUUAUCUAUUAUGCGGGGUAAUGGCCCCCCUAUGCGACAAUCCCCCUCUGGGCUGAGAGGAUGACCCCCCCCACUGUAACUGAGACACGGUCCCCACUCCCACAGGAGGCGCCACUGGGGAAUAUUGUGCAAUGUGCGCACGCCUGAUGCGCCCCUGCGCCGUGUAUAAAAAAAGCCUUCUCGUUGUAAAGUACUUUCUCCGCGGAGAAGAGCGACAGGGUUAAUAACCCCGUCUAUUGAGGUUUCCCCCACAAAAAACACCGGCUAACUCUCUGCGACCACCCGCGGUAAUACAGAGGGUGUGCACGUUUAUCUCAAUUACUGUGCGUAAAGCGCACACACGCGGUCUGUUAAAUCUCAUGUGUAAUCCCCCGGCUUAACCUGUGAACUGCAU